AUCCAGCUGACGAGUCCUAAACAGGACGAAACACGCGUCCUGUAU
rnacentral:hammerhead_ribozyme from 1 species